UCUGACCCGCACUCGGCCUGCGGU
rnacentral:miRNA from 1 species